rnacentral:rRNA from 1 species
CACGUAGGAGACGAGCGUUAUCCGGAUUUACUGGGCGUAAAGCGCGGGUAGGUGGGGGUCUUAAGUCAUGCGUGAAAGCUCUCGGCUUAACCGGGAGAGGUCGUGUGAAACUGGGGGCUCUCAGAGGUAGGUAGAGGCAGAUGGAAUUCCGGGUGGAGUGGUGAAAUGCGUAGAGAUCCGGAGGAACACCAGUGGCGAAGGCGAUCUGCUAGGCCUGACCUGACACUCAGACGCGACAGCAUGGGGAGCGAACGGGG